AAGUACAGUACAGUGGCUUACAGUGACGGGCAGCUUCCGUCUCAGACAGUCAGAAACUUUAACAAAACAAAAAAGAGGAAACCGUUAGAACAGACUGGACAGCAGAUUGUUUAGAGGAAGCACUUCUCAGGGACAGGAAGAAAAGGCGGGGACAGCAUCUCUUAACACAUCUCAGUCCUGAUCUGGACCCGGUCCAGAAGACAGAACCGGCCUGCAUCAGUGUCUCCGCUACUACCAGCAACACAGACAGCAACACAACAGCUGUCAGCGCAAAAACUAUAGUUAGAAAACAGGAAGCCAAUGCUGUUCUGAAAACUGACGCUCAACUCGACACCCUGGGUGAGGCCACGGGAGAAGGAGCAGGGGGAACCUGCAGGAAUCCACAGCGCACACAGGCUCACAAGAACCGGGAGCCCGAGGGAGAAACACACCUCCUGAGAAACUGUGUCAUCAAUGACACCAAGCCAGAAGUCAGGGACGUGGUCAAACGCAAACGCUGAAAAGCUGAAGCUGUUUCACACAGAGAAAAUUCCCCAAACAACAAAAGAAAGAGGAAAAACACACACAGCUGAUGACGUACGAGGACCAGCACGGAGGAAGAGGAAGAGCCGGGGGUCGUAGAGACAGGGGAAGAGGAUGUGGCAUAUCUGACGCUUGUUUGAAGAAGAAAAAAAUACUGGACACUGGGCUAGAGAUUGUCCGGAGAAUUAAAAUAUGCAAAUGGCUGAUUGACUGGAGAGGGGGAACCGAGGACAGAGGAGCUGAAAGGACAGAACAACCUACGCAUGAAUGGCCUAGGAAAAGAACAAGCUUGGAUUCGUGGUGGGCACAGGGUAGGACGACCAAGACGGGAUAAAAGCACACGCCCCAUCAUCAUACGCUUUACCAUCAUGCGCACCUUCAGAUUGAAGGUAUGGAGAGCUUCUCUCAACGCCGAUGUCAUGAAGGAAAAGAAUCUCACUCAGCUGGAAAGACUCUGGCCUCUAAUGAAGCAAGCUGAUGAAAGAAGA